AGCCGCGCCAGUACGACUCCAUAGUGCGGGACGCGCCGCCCGAGAGCCCGGUGUUCUUCUCCUCAGCCUCUACGGUCGACUCGAACCAACUGGCGGCUACCGCUGAUUACACGGUCCAAGGCCCAGGGGUUCAGAAGCAAAUCUACCGCAACACGGAGCCUCCAAGCGUGGUGGAGAGGAACGCUCGCAUCAUCAAAUGGCUGUGCCAAUGCCGCAAGACUCAGCUGCAACCACCUCAGUAGACCGAGAAGACCUUAACUUUAAGAGAACAGUAGACGGACUUAUA